GACGAACGCUGGCGGCGUGCCUAAUACAUGCAAGUCGAACGCAAAGUUUAUACCGUAGCUUGCUACACGAUAGACUAUGAGGUGCGAACGGGUGAGUAACGCGUAGGUAACCUGCCUGGUAGCGGGGGAUAACUAUUGGUAACACUAGCUAAUACCUCCUAAUAUUAAUUAUUGCAUGAUAAUUAACUGAAAGGUGCAAUUGCAUCACUACUUGAUGGCCUUGCGUUGUAUUAGCUAGUAGGCGAGGUAACGGCUCACCUAGGCGACGAUACAUAGACGACCGGAGAGGGUGAGCGGCCAGACUGGGACUGAGACAGGGCACAGACGCCUACGGGAAGGAGCAGUAGGGAAACGGCAGCAAUGGGCGAAAGUCUGUCCGAACAAGGCCGAGGGAGUGAAGAAGAUUGUCGGAUCGGAAAGCUCGGUUGUAAGAGAAGAACGGGUGUGAGAGUGGAAAGUUGACACAGUGACGGUAACUGAUAAGAAAGGAACGGCUAACUACGUG
rnacentral:rRNA from 1 species